UACGUAUGGUGCAAGCGUUAUCCGGAUUUACUGGGUGUAAAGGGAGCGCAGGCGGCGCGGCAAGUCCGAUGUGAAAACCCCCGGCUCAACCGGGGGACUGCAUUGGAAACUACCGGGCUGGAGUGCCGGAGAGGUAGGCGGAAUUCCUGGUGUAGCGGUGAAAUGCGUAGAUAUCAGGAGGAACACCAGUGGCGAAGGCGGCCUACUGGACGGUGACUGACGCUGAGGCUCGAGAGCGUGGGGAGCAAACAGG
rnacentral:rRNA from 1 species